GGUUAAGCGACUAAGCGUACACGGUGGAUGCCCUGGCAGUCAGAGGCGAUGAAGGACGUGCUAAUCUGCGAUAAGCGUCGGUAAGGUGAUAUGAACCGUUAUAACCGGCGAUUUCCGAAUGGGG
rnacentral:rRNA from 1 species